GAUGAACGCUGGCGGCGUGCCUAAUACAUGCAAGUCGAGCGAACAGACGAGGAGCUUGCUCCUCUGACGUUAGCGGCGGACGGGUGAGUAACACGUGGAUAACCUACCUAUAAGACUGGGAUAACUUCGGGAAACCGGAGCUAAUACCGGAUAAUAUAUUGAACCGCAUGGUUCAAUAGUGAAAGACGGUUUUGCUGUCACUUAUAGAUGGAUCCGCGCCGCAUUAGCUAGUUGGUAAGGUAACGGCUUACCAAGGCAACGAUGCGCAGCCGACCUGAGAGGGUGAUCGGCCACACGGGAACUGAGACACGGUCCAGACUCCUACGGGAGGCAGCAGUAGGGAAUCUUCCGCAAUGGGCGAAAGCCUGACGGAGCAACGCCGCGUGAGUGAUGAAGGUCUUCGGAUCGUAAAACUCUGUUAUUAGGGAAGAACAAAUGUGUAAGUAACUAUGCACGUCUUGACGGUACCUAAUCAGAAAGCCACGGCUAACUACGUG
rnacentral:rRNA from 1 species